GAUGAACGCUGGCGGCGUGCCUAAUACAUGCAAGUCGAGCGAACAGACGAUGAGCUUGCUCCUUUGACGUUAGCGGCGGACGGGUGAGUAACACGUGGAUAACCUACCUAUAAGACUGGGAUAACUUCGGGAAACCGGCGAUAAUACCGGAUAAUAUAUUGAACCGUGUGGUUCAAUAGUGAAAGACGGCUUUGCUGUCUCUUAUAGAUGGAUCCGCGCCGCAUUAGCUAGUUGGUACGGUAAAGGCUUACCACGGCGACGAGGCGUGGCCGACGUGAGAGAGUGAUCGGCCACACUAGAACUGAGACACGGUCCAGACGCCUACGGGAGGCACCAGUAGGGAAUCUUCCGCAAUGGGCGAAAGCUUGACGCAGCGACGCCGCGUGAGUGAUGAAGGUCUUCGGAUCGUAAAACUCUGUUAUUAGGUAAGAACAAAUGUGUAAGUAACUAUGCACGGCUUGACGGUACCUAAUCAGAAAGCCACGGCUAACUACGUG
rnacentral:rRNA from 1 species